rnacentral:rRNA from 1 species
GAUGAACGCUGGCGGCGUGCCUAAUACAUGCAAGUCGAACGAAACUUCUUUAUCACCGAGUGCUUGCACUCACCGAUAAAGAGUUGAGUGGCGAACGGGUGAGUAACACGUGGGCAACCUGCCCAAAAGAGGGGGAUAACACUUGGAAACAGGUGCUAAUACCGCAUAACCAUAGUUACCGCAUGGUAACUAUGUAAAAGGUGGCUAUACUACCGCUUUUGGGUGGGCCCGCGGCGCAUUAGCUAGUUGGUAGGGUAAAGGCUUACCAAGGCAAUGAUGCGUAGCCGAAUUGAGAGGUUGAUCGGCCACAUUGGGACUGAGACACGGCCCAAACUCCUACGGGAGGCAGCAGUAGGGAAUCUUCCACAAUGGGCGAAAGCCUGAUGGAGCAACGCCGCGUGGGUGAAGAAGGUCUUCGGAUCGUAAAACCCUGUUGUUAGAGAAGAAAGUGCGUGAGAGUAACUGUUCACGUUUCGACGGUAUCUAACCAGAAAGCCACGGCUAACUACGUG